rnacentral:rRNA from 1 species
CCCUUCUGGAGUUUGGCAGAGGGGGGUGGAAUUCCACGUGUAGCAGUGAAAUGCGUAGAGAUGUGGAGGAACACCGAUGGCGAAGGCAGCCCCCUGGGCCGAUACUGACGCUCAUGCACGAAAGCGUGGGUAGCAAACAGGAUUAGAUACCCUGGUAGUCCACGCCCUAAACGAUGUCAACUAGUUGUUGGGAGGGUAAAACCUUUUAGUGCCGUAGCUAACG